rnacentral:misc_RNA from 1 species
AGCAGCCGCGGUAAUUCCAGCUCCAAUAGCGUAUAUUAAAGUUGUUGCAGUUAAAAAGCUCGUAGUUGAAUUUCGGGAUCAAUAUGUUGGUCGUGCCUUGGUACGUACUGGCGUCAUUGGUUUCUACCUUCUGAAGAACCUCGAUGUCAUUAAUUUGGUGUCUUGGGGAAAUCAGGACUGUUACUUUGAAAAAAUUAGAGUGUUUAAAGCAAGCUCACGCUUGAAUACAUUAGCAUGGAAUAAUGAAAUAGGACGUUUGAUUCUAUUUUUGUUGGUUUCUAGGAUUGACGUAAUGAUUAAUAGGGAUAGUUGGGGGCAUUAGUAUUCAAUUGUCAGAGGUGAAAUUCUUGGAUUUAUUGAAGACUAACUACUGCGAAAGCAUUUGCCAAGGAUGUUUUCAUUAAUCAAGAACGAAAGUUAGGGGAUCGAAGACGAUCAGAUACCGUCGUAGUCUUAACCAUAAACUAUGCCGACUAGGGAUCGGAUGAUGUUAAUUUUUAAUGACUCAUUCGGCGCCUUA